rnacentral:rRNA from 1 species
AGCGAACGUUAGCGGCGGACCUAACACAUGCAAGUCGAGCGAGAAAGGGGCUUCGGCCCUGAGUAAAGCGGUAGACGGGUGAGUAACACGUAGGUAAUCUGCCCUUGAGUGGGGGACAACGGUCCGAAAAGACCGCUAAUACCGCAUUCGUUCCCCGGGACCUCGGUCCUGGGGAGGAAAGCUGCACGGCAACGUGUGGCGCUCGAGGAGGAGACUGCAUCGCAUCAGCUAGUUGGUGGGGUAAUGGCCUACCAAGGCAAAGACGCGUAGCUGGUCUGAGAGGAUGAGCAGCCACACUGGGACUGAGACACGGCCCAGACUCCUACGGGAGGACGCAGUGGGGAAUAUUGGACAAUGGGGGCAACCCUGAUCCAGCCACGCCGCGUGAGUGAUGAAGGCCUUCGGGUCGUAAAGCUCUGUGGGGAGGGACGAACGUCCGGCAUGACCUGUCGGGGUGACGGUACCUCCUUAGCAAGCACCGGCUAACUUCGUGCCAGCCGCCGCGGUAACAC